rnacentral:pre_miRNA from 1 species
UAUAUACUUCCUCCGUCCGGAAAUACUUGUUCGAGAAAUGGAUGUAUCUAGAUGUAUUUUAGUUCUAGAUACAUUCAUUUAUAUCCAUUUCUAUGACAAGUAUUUCUGGACGAAGGGAGUAUAUG